UUCCGGUUUGGCAGCUGAAAACUGCUUGGCUCCUCUGGGUUUGGUAUCUUGAGAAUAAAGGCAUCUGGAUAAGGAAGCCAAAGACCUCUGGACAAAGGAGACAUGAAAAAAAAAGGACAAAUCAUCCAGAAAGUAAAGUCCCAAGAAAAAGAACAUAUAAUGCAAAUGGUCUUUUUGUAGUCCCAGUGCAAUUAAGAAUUAAAGCUGUCAGGGUUGCAGAGAUGGCUCAGCGGUUAAGAGCACUGACUGUUCUUCCAGAGGUCCUGAGUUCAAUUCCUGGCAACCACAUGAUGGCUCACAACCACCUUGAAUGAGAUCUGGUGUCCUCC